rnacentral:rRNA from 1 species
UACGUAGGUGGCGAGCGUUGUCCGGAUUUACUGGGCGUAAAGCGCGCGCAGGCGGUUCGUUAAGUCCGGUGUGAAAGCUCCCGGCUCAACUGGGAGAGGUCAUUGGAUACUGGGCGGACUCGAGGGAUGCGAGGAAGGUGGAAUUCCCGGUGUAGUGGUGAAAUGCGUAGAGAUCGGGAGGAACACCAGUGGCGAAGGCGGCCUCUGGGCA